rnacentral:rRNA from 1 species
UACGUAGGGGGGCAAGCGUUGUCCGGAUUUAUUGGGCGUAAAGAGCGUGUAGGCGGCCAGAUAGGUCAGCUGUGAAAACUCGAGGCUCAACCUCGAGACGUCGGUUGAAACCAUCUGGCUAGAGUCCGGAAGAGGAGAGUGGAAUUCCCGGUGUAGCGGUGAAAUGCGCAGAUAUCAGGAGGAACACCGGUGGCGAAGGCGGUUCUCUGGGCCUUACCUGACGCUGAGGAGCGAAAGCGUGGGGAGCAAACAGG